GACGAACCGUGCGAACGUUAUUCGGAAUCAUUGGGCUUAAAGCGCGUGUAGGCGGGUUCGUGCGUCUGUCGCUGAAAUCCCCCGGCUCAACCGGGGAACGGGCGCGGAUACGACGAGUCUGGAGGGGCAUAGGGGGACCUGGAACUUCCGGUGGAGCGGUGAAAUGCGUUGAGAUCGGAAGGAACGCCCGUGGCGAAAGCGAGGUCCUGGACGCCUACUGACGCUGAGACGCGAAAGCCAGGGGAGCGAACGGG
rnacentral:rRNA from 1 species